rnacentral:snRNA from 1 species
AGCUUUGCGCAGUGGCAGUAUCGUAGCCAAUGAGGUUUAUCCGAGGCGCGAUUAUUGCUAUUAUAAAAUGGCUUAUCGUAAGUGGCUUCCAUCUUCCUAAUUAUUGUUGUUACUUAAAGCUCUUAAAAGAA